rnacentral:pre_miRNA from 1 species
GGAGGACUUCCUCCGUCCAAAAAUUCUUGUCUUAAAUUUGUUUAGAUAUAAAUGUAUCUAGUCACGUUUUAGUAUUUAGAUACAUCCAUUUCUAGACAAACUUAAGACAAGAAUUUUGGGACGGAGGGAGUACUUU